GACGAACGCUGGCGGCGUGCUUAACACAUGCAAGUCGAACGGAAAGGCCCUGCUUUUGUGGGGUGCUCGAGUGGCGAACGGGUGAGUAACACGUGAGUAACCUGCCCUUGACUUUGGGAUAACUUCAGGAAACUGGGGCUAAUACCGGAUAGGAGCUCCUGCUGCAUGGUGGGGGUUGGAAAGUUUCGGCGGUUGGGGAUGGACUCGCGGCUUAUCAGCUUGUUGGUGGGGUAGUGGCUUACCAAGGCUUUGACGGGUAGCCGGCCUGGGAGGGUGACCGGCCACAUUGGGACUGAGAGACGGCCCAGACUCCUACGUGAGGCAGCAGUGGGGAAUAUUGCACAAUGGGCGGAAGCCUGAUGCAGCAACGCCGCGUGCGGGAUGACGGCCUUCGGGUUGUAAACCGCUUUCGCCUGUGACGAAGCGUGAGUGACGGUAAUGGGUAAAGAAGCACCGGCUAACUACGUG
rnacentral:rRNA from 1 species